rnacentral:rRNA from 1 species
GAUGAACGCUAGCGGCAGGCUUAAUACAUGCAAGUCGUGGGGCAGCAUGAGUGUAGCAAUACAUUUGAUGGCGACCGGCAAACGGGUGCGGAACACGUACACAACCUUCCUUCAAGUGGGGAAUAGCCCAGGGAAACUUGGAUUAAUACCCCGUAAUAUUAUGGAGUGGCAUCACUUUAUAAUUAUAGCUCCGGCGCUUGAUGAUGGGUGUGCGCCUGAUAGGUAGUUGGCGGGGUAACGGCCCACCAAGCCUUCGAUCAGUAACUGGUGUGAGAGCACGACCAGUCACACGGGCACUGAGACACGGGCCCGACUCCUACGGGAGCAGCAGUAAGGAAUAUUGGUCAAUGGACGCAAGUCUGAACCAGCCAUGCCGCGUGAAGGAUGAAGGCCCU